ACUCCUACGGGAGGCAGCAGUGGGGAAUAUUGCACAAUGGGGGCAACCCUGAUCCAGCGAUGCCGCGUGUGUGAAGAAGGCCUGAGGGUUGUAAAGCACUUUUAGUGGGGAGGAAAGUUAACAGGUUAAGAGCUAGUUAAGUUGACGUUACCCACCAUAAACAGCACCGGCUAACUCCGUGCCAGCAGCCGCGGUAAUACGGGGG
rnacentral:rRNA from 1 species